GUCUAACUCUGCUCAAUGAAUUUUAAAUAGCUGCAGUAUUUUAACUGUACAAAGGUAGCAUAAUCAAUUGGCUAUUUAAUAUAGUCUGGUAUGAAGGGUUGAAUGAAGUAAAAACUGUAUUUAUUUAAAAAAUAAAAAUUUUAAUUUAAGUUUAAAUACUUAAAUUUGUGUAUAAGACGAGAAGACCCUAUAGAAUUUUAUAAAUUAAUUUUAAGUAUAAAAUUUAUUUAAAUAUUUUAAUUUAAUUUUAUUUAUUUAAUUGGGGGGAUAUAAAAAUUUUUGAAAUUUUUUAAUAAUAUUAUACAAAUAUAAUUGAGUUAAUAUUUUGAAUAUUUAAAAUUAGUUAAUAGAUUAAAUUACCUUAGGGAUAACAGGAUAAUUUUUUUGGUUAGUACUUAUUAAUAAAAAAGAUUAUUACCUCGAUGUUGAAUUAAGAUAAAAUUUUAAAGAAGAUUUUAAAAGUUUUUAGUCUGUUCGACU
rnacentral:rRNA from 1 species